AUGCAGCCACGUCCGGGAAGACCCCGCGGCCGCCACUCUCUUCCCCCGGCCGCGGCGGGCGUGCUCCGGUGCCUCGUCCUCGCCGGGGCCGUCGCCGUCGCCGCCGCGGGCGCGGACGCGGUCGCGGCGCCGGCGAUCCUGGACACGGUGUGCGGGUCCAGGCAGGCGGCCGACCCGGAGUCCUUCGACGUGAGCUUCGUCAACACCCUGGAGCUCAUCUACCAGAACGUGACGCGCUCCGGCUUCGGCGCCGCCUCCUCCGGCUCCGGCGGCAACUUCUCCGUCUUCGGGCUCGGCCAGUGCCUCGCCUACCUCUCCCCGACCGACUGCCAGCUCUGCUACGCGCAGAGCCGCGUGAAGCUGCCCCACUGCCUCCCGGCCGACGGCGGCCGCAUCUACGUCGACGGCUGCUUCCUCCGCUACGGCGCCGGCGACUUCACCGCCGCCGCCACCGACGCCAGCGACACGUUCCUGUGCUCCAACGACACCGCGCCGGCGACCCCGGCGUUCGCGGCCGCGGCCGCCGCGCUGGUGCGCAACGUCACGGCGACCGCGCCGGGUGCGAGGGGGUACUACUACGCCGGGUCGGCGUCGGCGUCCGCGAUGCCGACCGGCGCGCGGGUGUACGCGGCGGCGCAGUGCUGGAGGUCGCUGAACGCCACCGCGUGCGCGGCAUGCACGGCCAGCGCGCGCGACCGGGUGGUGCGGCAGUGCCUUCCCGGCGCCGCCGAGGGGUACGGGCUCAACGCCGGCUGCGUCGUCAGGUACUCCACGCAGCCCUUCUACCUGCCGGCGAAAGCCGGCGGCGGCGGCGGAUCAUCCAACCGGCACAUAAUCAUCAUCGUCUUCGCCUCCAUCCUCUCCGCCAUGGCGGUCGUCGGCAUAGUAUUCAUCUGGACACGAAUGAGGCCCAGGAGAGACGACCUCCACGACGGUAUGCAAAACUACAUGGACGGCUCAGGCGAGAUCAUCCGCACCAUCAUGUCGUCGCAGCUCGGCUUCCGGUACGAGGAGCUGCGCAAGGCGACCGAUGACUUCAAUCAGAUCAACAAGCUCGGCCAGGGCGGCUACGGUUCAGUUUACAAGGGCGUGCUUCCGGAUGGCCGGGAGAUCGCCGUGAAGCGGCUCUACCUCAACACGCGGCAGUGGACCGACCAGUUCUUCAACGAGGUGAAGCUCGUCAGCCAGGUGCAGCACAAGAACCUCGUCAAGCUCCUCGGGUGCAGCGUCGAGGGCCCCGAGAGCCUCCUCGUCUACGAGUACCUCUGCAACACCAGCCUCGAUCACUACCUCUUUGAUGCUUUCAAGAAGAAUGCGUUGGACUGGGAGCGGCGGUCGGAGAUCGUCCUCGGGGCGGCGGAGGGUUUGUCAUACCUCCAUAGUGGCUCCGAGGUCAGGAUCAUACAUAGGGACAUCAAGGCCAGCAAUGUGAUGUUGGAUGAGAGGUUCAGACCUAAGAUUGGCGAUUUCGGCUUGGCAAGGAACUUCAUGGAAGAUCAGACCCACCUCAGCACCGGCCUCGCCGGAACAUUUGGAUAUAUGGCUCCGGAGUACAUCGUUCACGGGCAGCUGACGGAGAAGGCCGACAUCUAUAGCUACGGCGUGCUGGUCCUUGAGAUCGUCACCGGCCGCAAGAACCACAACUCCGUGGCGUCAUCGGCCGAGGGGUUGUCCCUCAUGUCACAGUUAUGGAAGCACUACAACGCCGGCACCCUCAUGGAGCUCCUGGACCCGAACCUCCGCGACCAAUGCUCGGAGGCGGAAGCUCUCAAGGUGUUCCAAGUCGGGCUGCUGUGCGCGCAGGCGUCGCCGAACCUCAGACCCCCGAUGUGGAAGGUGGUGGAGAUGCUGGGAAGUGGUGAUAGGGUGCUGCCCCGGCCUACCGAGCCUCCGUUCAUCAACAUAAAGGGGUCGAACGCGAAGAGCGAAAGCUCGGGGUCAUCAAUGUCUCUGAUGUCGAACUCCGACAAGUCGCCGUUCUCGACGAAUCAGCUGUCGGUUAGUGGGGUGCAGGCAAGGUGA
rnacentral:rRNA from 1 species